rnacentral:lncRNA from 1 species
GCAGAAUUCUCUAGGCUCUAACCAGGAUGGUAAGCAAACAUAACUUUCAAAGAUCUCUCACCCGUCUUUAAAAUUUCUGAUGGCUUUCAAAUACUUCGCUGAGACGCAGACCAGCUAUGAGGUCUGAUGUGUGACCUCUCUCUCCCCUGUUACCGACCUCCCUUCCCAACUCUCCCGGCACGGUAAGGGGGCAUCACGGCGUUCGCGGCGGAGUGAGGCCGGGCAGAGUUACACGACCCACUCGCUCCCCGGCCGAGCUAGGACCCUGCAGCUUGUGAGCUCUAAGCAGCCGCGGGCAGGCCAGGCGAGGCUGCGGCCUUACAGUGGCCUCCUGGAAGCCCUCCCGACGCCCACGGCCCCUUGGUGCCGCAGCACAAUCCCUCCCCUCGCGAGCCUCUCCCGGGCUGCGCUCACCGGCUACCAUCGACGGUGCCUUCUCCGCGAAGUUACGGAUGAACUUGGCCAUGGUCUAAGGUGGAAGGUACGUCUCCCCGAACCGCCGGCUGAAUGUCACCCCCGGAAGGACCCGCGGCAGGACCCCUUCCCCAUUUCCAAGCCAGUAUCAGAAUUGGGAUCCAAUCCGGUUUUUCAAACAAGCCAGUAGGAGCUGUGCGGACAAGAGGAAGAAAGUCAUGUGUGUUGAGGGUGUUGCACUGUGCCAGGCAUUUUGUAAUUUGGUGGAAGCAUGCUUUGGGCAUUAUCCCCUUAGAGACCAAGAUUCCUAAAUAGUCAUAGAAGGAGUCAGUUGCAAGAUAAAUACGCAAAGGAACAUAAGGUUAAGCGUGGUGCUGAUCUGGGAAGGCGUAGAGAUUCUUGGUGUAUAAGAAAAUAUACAAAUUCCAAAGGCUGUAACUUUGACAUUAUGAAUGAAAACAACAAAAACAAACCAGGAAACCCAAAAACUAUGUAGGAAAGUAACAUUUGAUGAGGAGAACAAGUUCUGGAAAAGCCCAAUCUUUAGAAGAAAAACUGAGGGGCUGGAGAGAUGGCUCAGCAUUAUGAGCACUGACUGCGCUUAGGUUAGGAGUUCAAAUCCCAACAACCACAUGGUGGCUCACAACCAUCUGUGAUGAGAUCUGAUGCCCUCUUCUGGUGUGUCUGAAGACAGCGACAGUGUACUUACAUAUAAUAAUAAAUACAUCUUUUAAAACAAAACAAAAAAAAA